rnacentral:lncRNA from 1 species
GGGAGAUAGUCAUUUCUGAGAUCUUCUGGUACCAUCCCCAAAGUCUGCAUUACUUUGUUCCUAUGGUGGAUGUGUAGUCAGGAACAGAUUAAUCUGCCUGGGAUGGGGAAGAAAGGUAAUCCUGUUUCCCCUGAGAUUAGGAAGGAGCAGGAAAAGAGGGAGAGAAAGAAACAUAUCCGUUUUAAAAAUAAAUUGCAGUGGCAGAGCAGCAAGGGCUACCUUCAAAACAUGAAGUGGACUGCUAUUACACACUGUCAAUGGGUAAUGGUCCUGAGUUAAGGCCUCACGUUGCAUCUGCCUUUGUACCCACUGUGGCCUCUGACUGCCUUAAGAUCAUACUAACACUACCAUUUUCUGAGCAUGUGGUCCACAGAGAGCCAUGAAGGCUGAUUAUUUCAGGUCCAUUCAUUUUUAUCCACACCUUUAAUCACCCAGCUGCUUUAUCCCAUAAAUAUCCCCAGACUCUAUCUUCAGGGAGGUGUAUUUGAGUCUUGGAUUUCCCCUCCACAUUUGAUCACCUUUCAAAUGCUUUCUUUUGCAAAACUUAUUGUUUUGGUGAUUGGCAUACUGUGCCUUGGGCAAAACAGGGCCUGGUUCCAUAAUACUGCUCAACCCACAACAAGAUCCUUAUCCCUCCUUUCCACAAUGCCAAGUUUUAUAAAGAUUAGAAGGAAACAAAGAGAAUAAUGAAGCCAGAUUUAAAAUUAGGUAGUCAGUGUAGUUAGGUAAAUCGGGUCUAACAUCGAGUAAGAUCUAAAAUGGAGGCCAUGCUGACAAUGAUUCCAGGAAACGCAGGACAACUCAUGGAAUGUUAAUGAAGUCCCCGGAAAGGCCCUAGGCCAAAGUCCACCCCAAAGAAAUGUUAAUGGAACUCUGGAAACAGCCCCAACAGAUUUGGAGAUAGCCCAUCCCAAAAAGUGAUAAUUAAGUCCUUCCUGCCCAGACUACUUGUUUGGCCCACCUGUGUCCUAACCCUUCCCCCUACAUUCCAUCACCAAAACUAUAAAAAGGGGAGACAACCGC